UUUAUUAUAGCGUGUAAAAAUACGGUAUGUAUAGUAAUCUCACAUUAUAAGAUGGUCCCUGUGGCCGUCAGCUGCAAUUUCAUCCUAGGGAUCGUCGUCGAAACUGUCAUUAUUAUUUUUGGCAGCUGGCUCAUUAGUAUGCUUAUAGAUUUUGGCGACGGUAGGAUGCUCUUUGGUCUAGUUAACCAUAGAUGCUCUAGUAGAAGGAUCUUACAGUCGGAGACCCUAGUGCCAUCCCAGAUCAAGGAAUUACCCAGCCUGUCCAUGCAGGUUUGAUGACAGACCCUAGGGAGGCUAGUCUUUCAAGUUGGAUUUUUUUUCUUUCCUCUCUUUCCUGGUAUGGCAUUGCCGAAAUUGGUAUACGUUGGCGUUCAUCGUAUCAAGCUCCUCCCAGGUCGCCUAUAUAAAUCUCAGUGAGGCCACCAGCGAACACAGCAAACUCUUAUUAUCAUAAUCAGUCUCUUGUAUUAUUCAGUAUCUCCUCUGCAACUCCAGCUAUGGCAGGCCAAGCUGCUGCGAGAGCGAAGCUGUGCUUCCUUUUUCCUCCCCAUGUUCA
rnacentral:lncRNA from 1 species